CAACAACGGAUCUCUUGGUUCUGGGAUCGAUGAAGAACGCAGCAAAAUGCGAUAAGUAAUGUGAAUUGCAGAAUUCAGUGAAUCAUCGAAUCUUUGAACGCACAUUGCGCCCGCCAGUAUUCUGGCGGGCAUGCCUGUUCGAGCGUCAUUUCAACCCU
rnacentral:rRNA from 1 species